rfam:Oryza sativa Indica Group cultivar 93-11 Ctg039959, whole genome shotgun sequence.
UUGGAGAAGCCGAAAAUCCAAAAAAGAGUAGGCA